AACGAACGCUGGCGGCAGGCUUAACACAUGCAAGUCGAGCGCCCCGCAAGGGGAGCGGCAGACGGGUGAGUAACGCGUGGGAAUCUACCCAUCUCUACGGAAUAACGCAUGGAAACGUGUGCUAAUACCGUAUACGUCCUUCGGGAGAAAGAUUUAUCGGAGAUGGAUGAGGCCGCGUUGGAUUAGCUAGUUGGUGGGGUAAAGGCUUACCAAGGCGACGAUCCAUAGCUGGUCUGAGAGGAUGAUCAGCCACACUGGGACUGAGACACGGCCCAGACUCCUACGGGAGGCAGCAGUGGGGAAUAUUGGACAAUGGGCGCAAGCCGGAGCCAGGCAUGCCGCGUGGGUGAUGAAGGCCCUAGGGUUGUAAAGAUCUUGCACCGGUGAAGAUAAUGACGGUAACCGGGGAAGAAGCCCCGGCUAACUUCGUGCCAGCCGCCGCGGUAACAC
rnacentral:rRNA from 1 species